UGUAUCUGACACUCCACAAACAUCAAGAUGCUUUCUCACAGUUAUCUGCUGGCCGUCAUCUUCAUUUCUAUUCAGGGAUCCUGUGGACAGACUGUGAUGACUCAGACUCCGGAUUCUAUCGCUGUGUCCCCGGGACAGGCAGUCACCAUCACAUGUACAUCCAGUGCUAAAAUUUAUGAUGCCUUAGCCUGGUACCAACAGAAAUCAGGAAAGUCUCCAACACUUCUCAUACAUAGUGCAACCACCCGACACACAGGAGUCCCAGACCGGUUCACUGGCAAGGGUGAUGGAUUUUCUUAUAUUCGUUACACUCUGACAAUUACUGCCGUGACUGAAGAUGAUGAAGGAAGUUAUUACUGUCAGCAGUAUGCUAGCAGCUAUCCUCGGACUUUUGGUGGCGGAACAUUUGUAGAGAUUAAACGAAGAGAAGAUGCCAAACCUUCUGUAUCUAUCUACCCUGCUGCAUUAGAGCAGACCAAGUCAGGAACAGCAAGUGUUGUCUGUUUGGUUCAACAGUUCUAUCCAGGAGAUGCCAAGGUCACAUGGAAAGUGGACAACAGUAUCAUAACCGACGGUGUUCUAAACAGUGACAACGUCAAGGAUACCAAAGAUAACACUUACAGUAAAAGCAGCACACUGACUAUGACCAGUGCUCAGUAUAAAAGUCAUGACCUCUACAGUUGUGAGGUCACACAUAAAACACUGGCGUCAGCACUGGUCACAAGUUUCAAGGCUUCAGAAUGUAAUGUUUAG